AGCUUGCCUCUUAUUUGUUUUUGUAUUACUGUAUUUACUUCUGAGUUACACAUGUCCACGAAAGAGGGAUCAAAACAAUGAACAGAUCUUCUACCCAGCCAAGCAAAGACAACACCUUCUGCUCACACGAGUCCUGGAUGAAGGCGCUGCUAGGCCACCCCGAGGUAAACAUGAAGAGCCAGAAUCACUUAAAUCUUACCUGGGAGUUUUACAUCUUCUGAUAACAUUGCUUUUCGCUGGUGAUAUUGAAGUAAAUCCAGCACUUUUAUUGCAAGGAAGGCAUCACGGCCAUGUGGGCUGCAUCCAUCGGUGCCUGUGCUACAGGUUAGUCUCCAUAUUCAACUAGAUGGUCAACCGCCACCAUCUGCUGGGCCAUGGCCACAGCCUGCUAGGCCUCAACCACUGCUAGCUGGGCUAGCAUCCACUUCUACUAGGCCUGCUUUACCAGCUAGCUGGGCUAGCAUCCACUUCUACUAGGCCUGCAUUACCAGCUAGUUGGGACACAUCCACUGCUACCUGGGCUUCACCUGCAAACGUUUGAUGAUGAUGUGCAUCCAAAGUGAGGCCCUCUGUCCUGUUUCAUGUCUGUCACGCUGUUACACGCAAGAAUGAAGGCAUCCAAUCAUGCGCCCCUGUGAACCGCCUUGUUUCAAGUCAUGUUACAUGCUCUCACCCACCUCCUCCCCUCGCACGCCGCACUCUCUCCCCUACCUUAUGUGCUCCAUCCUGUCCUCCAAGGCCUCUGCAUUUAGAGAAGUAAGCCUGCUGGUGGGGGUUAUUGCCUCUAAUUCUAGCCCACAGUGGGGUGCCCAUUAGGGGGCUUGAUUCUUGGUUUUGAUGUCAAAACCUAGAGGUUGUUUCCUAGAGCCAAGCUCACUUCAAACAAGACACACAGGUUUUGUGUAGGACAAGUCAGCGUGUGGCACCUGAGAAAAACACCUGACAAGAGGCUGAAGUUGAGUAAUAACCAUUUCACAGUGCUGCGGUUACUAUUCAUAGAAAACACACAAGGGCAGUCCUAGAAAUGUCUGUUGGGGUUGAAAUAAUUAGCAAGGUACAAGAGUAAACUCUGAUACUUUCUCACUCAACCUACUACGAGAUUUAUUGCAUCUCUCUAAUCACUCUUUCAUAUACAUGUACAGCAUGGGAAUACUGAUGGUUCCCUGAGUGCGGAUAUGGAAGUAAAUGCUUCACUGACUGCAUUGCUACGCUGCAGCCAUGAAGCAUACUAUAUAUUCAUUCAUUCAUUCAUUCAUUUUCUGCCGCUUAUCCUCAUGAGGGCGUCUUCGGGCGAGAGACGGGGUACACCCUGGAAUGGUCGCCAGCCAAUCACAGGGCAUACUAUAUAUUCUGGACUGGAUUCUGGAUCGAGCACACCCAAAUAUAAGUCACACUCACCAACUUUAAAGGGAAAAAUAGAAUCCAUUGUCCACAAGCCACAGGCUUCCAUGUUGUGAACAUAAGACUUUCA